rnacentral:rRNA from 1 species
GACGAACGCUGGCGGCGUGCUUAACACAUGCAAGUCGAACGGAAAGGCCCUGCUUUUGUGGGGUGCUCGAGUGGCGAACGGGUGAGUAAUACGUGAGUAACCUGCCCUUGACUUUGGGAUAACUUCAGGAAACUGGGGCUAAUACCGGAUAGGAGCUCCUGCUGCAUGGUGGGGGUUGGAAAGUUUCGGCGGUUGGGGAUGGACUCGCGGCUUAUCAGCUUGUUGGUGGGGUAGUGGCUUACCAAGGCUUUGACGGGUAGCCGGCCUGAGAGGGUGACCGGCCACAUUGGGACUGAGAUACGGCCCAGACUCCUACGGGAGGCAACAGUGGGGAAUAUUGCACAAUGGGCGGAAGCCUGAUGCAGCAACGCCGCGUGCGGGAUGACGGCCUUCGGGUUGUAAACCGCUUUCGCCUGUGACGAAGCGUGAGUGACGGUAAUGGGUAAAGAAGCACCGGCUAACUACGUG